GGGCUCAUAGCUCAGCCUGGUAGAGCAUUGGACUCUUAAUCCAAGGGUCGGGGGUUCAAAUCCCUCUGAGCCCG
rnacentral:tRNA from 1 species